GCUUGCUCCCUGAUGUUAGCGGCGGACGGGUGAGUAACACGUGGGUAACCUGCCUGUAAGACUGGGAUAACUCCGGGAAACCGGGGCUAAUACCGGAUGGUUGUUUGAACCGCAUGGUUCAGACAUAAAAGGUGGCUUCGGCUACCACUUACAGAUGGACCCGCGGCGCAUUAGCUAGUUGGUGAGGUAACGGCUCACCAAGGCGACGAUGCGUAGCCGACCUGAGAGGGUGAUCGGCCACACUGGGACUGAGACACGGCCCAGACUCCUACGGGAGGCAGCAGUAGGGAAUCUUCCGCAAUGGACGAAAGUCUGACGGAGCAACGCCGCGUGAGUGAUGAAGGUUUUCGGAUCGUAAAGCUCUGUUGUUAGGGAAGAACAAGUGCCGUUCAAAUAGGGCGGCACCUUGACGGUACCUAACCAGAAAGCCACGGCUAACUACGUGCCAGCAGCCGCGGUAAUACGUAGGUGGCAAGCGUUGUCCGGAAUUAUUGGGCGUAAAGGGCUCGCAGGCGGUUUCUUAAGUCUGAUGUGAAAGCCCCCGGCUCACCCGGGGAGGGUCAUUGGAAACUGGGGAACUUGAGUGCAGAAGAGGAGAGUGGAAUUCCACGUGUAGCGGU
rnacentral:rRNA from 1 species